GGGGCAUAAUAGAGCAAUAUAAUAAGGUUUUACUCUUUGUUCGAUAGAAUGAGAAAAAGUACUCCUUACAAAGUUAUACUGUUAAGGCGCUACUGAAUAGUCUAAUGUUGUUCCGGUUUUGAUUCUUGUGAAAGUUGACAUCGAUUUGUUCCAAAUUUACACUCUCGGGGCAUAAUAGACCAAUAUAAUUAGGUUUACUCCUUGUUCGAUGGAAUGAGAAAAAGUACUCGUUGCAAAGUUAUACUGUUAGGGCGCAACUGAGUAGUCUAAUGUUGUUCCGAUUUUUGUUCUUCUGAACGUUGACAUCGAUUUGUUUCAANGUUAAUUAAGAGAAACCAUCUCUCUUUCUCUCUAGUAUCUCCGUUUCUCUCUCUCUCUCUUUUCUUCGAACGAGAGGUUCGGAGAGAGCCAAACCCGUGGUUUCUCUUUUCUCACGUUCAAGUGUAUAUAUAUAUAUAUAUAUAUCUCUCUCUCUCUCUCUCUCUCUCUCUCUCUCUCGUCCCGACGACACGAGAUCCCUCGUGCCUCCGGAGGCACGAGGACUCGGCAAAAGCUACUACCUCAAAGGCUUAGUUGCUAGCCGAGGCAAUUUGAACUAGAUCGCAUAAACUUCAAAGAUCUUUUAUUAAAAACACUAAAAAGCUAUAGUAAAUGGAUCGUUAGCUUUCCUAAGUUUUAGUUAUUAAAAAUUGCCAACUUUUAUUUUUAGGAUAUUUUUCACCACUAUAUCGUGAUUUUAAAAGCUAGUCUUUAUAACUAGAACAAUAUCUAUCAUAUUUCUGAGGAGAAAAUUGGAAUUGCUUGGUGGUGUAGCAAGCUUGGUGGAGAAGAAGGCUUGGAGUUGAAGCUUCAUCUUCAUCUUCUCCUUCCUUGGUCUAAGAGGAAACUUGAGAGGUUUUCUGACGCGCUGGCGAAGUCGGUUCGGCGAUACGACGAGGUUACGCGAAGAUAUUGAAGAAAAGGCCGAUUUCGGUACAGAUUGCCGCAGCUCGUGGCGUAAGCUCCCAAAAAUCACGAAACCGGAAUCGUAGCAUCGUGACAUCACCUAAAGUCUUGGAGCUAAAAAAGUCGGGGGCACGAAGGGUCGCGUGGAGCUCUCGGUGGGUUUGACCUCGCUACAAAUGAGAAAAUCUCAUUUAUGUGGAUUUAAGUAUCGUAAAAUGGAAAAUCACGCAUUUUAAUGAAAAAUGCAUUAUUUGUGAAUUUUAAAAUGCUUGAAAUGCUUAUGUUAUAUACAAUGCAUUUUCGGACCUCUAUGUAGUAGAGAGCUUGCAUGUAAGACUUAUGCAUGGGUUUAGCAUUCUAAUUGGGACUUGGAAUCAUGCUUCAUAUAGUAGACAUGACAAAUGUGUAAUAUGCCUUGGACAUAAAUCUCAUUUGGACAUAAGAGAAUACAUUAGGCCAUAAAGUGGUUUUGGACUUGAAUAACUUGUGAGUUAGGGAGCUAAUGUCGUAAUGCGACAUCGGGCUUGAGCUAUGAAUGAGCCUAGCAAAGUAAUGCCAUAGAGAGGCAUUAGGCUUGAAUGAUAUGUGAAUUGUAUAUGCAUGUUAAUAGUAUGAGAAUUAUGCUAAGUUGGUAGUUGCAUUGGAAAGUGUAUGCAUGUAGCAUUAUGAGAACUAUGCUAUGUUGAUAGUUGUAUACGGAUGCAUUGAAACCAUAUGCUAGUGGAUAGAUGCAUGUUAAUAUUUAUAUGCAUUGUGGAAUACAUGCUAGGUACAUAUUAGCAAUGUGAGAUCAUGCUAGAGAGCAUGCGAAUUAACCUAUUAUUGAUAGGGUAAGCUAAUGUCAUAAAGAGGCAUUGGGCUUGAAAUUUGUAAGGUACAGAACUUCUUAAAUUCUGAAGUUACGGUAGGAUGUAAUAGGUUUUACUCUUUGUUCGAUAGAAUGAGAAAAAGUACACGUUGCAAAGUUAUACUGUUAUGGCGCAACUGAGUAGUCUAAUGUUGUUCCGGUUUUGAUUCUUGUGAACGUUGAAAAUUCGUUCCAAAUUUACACUCUCGGGGCAUAAUAGAACUAUAUAAUUAGGUUUUACUCUUUGUUCGAUAGAAUGAGAAAAAGUACUCGUUUCAAAGUUAUACUGUUAGGGCGCAACAGAGUAGUCUAAUGUUGUUCUGGUUUUCGUUCUUGUGAACGUUGACAUCGAUUCGUUCCAAAUUUACACUCUAGGGGCAUAAUAGAACUAUAUAAUUAGGUUUUACCCUUUGUUCAAUAGAAUGAGAAAAAGUACUCGUUGCAAAGUUAUACUGUUUGGGCGCAACUGAGUAGUCUAAUUUUGUUCCUGUUUUUGUUUUUGUGAACGUUGACAUCGAUUCGUUCCAAAUUUACACUCUCGGGGCAUAAUAGAACAAUAUAAUUAGGUUUUACUCUUUGUUCGAUAGAAUGAGAAAAAGUACUUGUUGCAAAGUUAUACUGUUAAGGCGCAACUGAGUAGUCUAAUGUUGUUCCGAUUUUGGUUCUUGUGAAUGUUGACAUUGAUUCGUUCAAAAUUUACACUCUCGAGGUAUAAUAAAAUAAUAUAAUUAGGUUUUACUCUUUAUUCGAUAGAAUGAGAAAAAGUACUCGUCGCAAAGUUAUACUGUUAGGGGGCAACUGAGUAGUCUACUGUUGUUCCGAUUUUGGUUCUUGUGAACGUUGACAUCGAUUCGUUCCAAAUUUACACUCUCGAGGUAUAAUAGACCAAUAUAAUUAGGUUUUCUCUUUGUUCGAUAGAAUGAGAAAAAGUACUCGUUGCAAAGUUAUAUUGUUAGGGCGCAACUGAGUAGUCUAAUAUUGUUCCGAUUUUGGGGACCGUCCUCUGGCAAGGACCGGUUCCGAACGUUGAAUAUCCCCUUUGCCAGUUUGUGCAGCUUUACGUGGACGGCUCAAAGGGGUCGCUCGCCCGACAAAGGUGACCACCGGUUGGUCCCUCACUGCGAAAAAUACCCAGGGAGGCUGUUUCAAGAAGUGAAAAGUGAGGGUUUUAUGUUGCAUCAAGUGGGUUAUGAGAAGAGGCUAGGCUUGUCCGCCUCUCAUCGCAUCACUUACACUUCAGUGGAUGCCCUUCUUCACGUCGUGAUGUCGUAGUCCUCCAUACUCACGACCUCUGAUGUCUACUCAUCUUCUGGCUCUCUGAAAGGUUAUAACAAAAAAGCAUCAUAUCGGAGGAAAAGAGGAGAAGUAGCAGAAGGCUAGUAGAAUGAUAGAAGGAGACGAGAUAGAGACUGAAAAAGAGCGAGAAAGAGAGGUAUUGACAACUAAGACAGGAAUGAGAAGCAUAUCACGCGAGUUACACUAUUCAUCAUCUCCUCUUGCCCAAAGCUUGGAGCUUGGUAAUGAUGUAAACCUCAACCUUUGAUGUGGUUUCAAUAGGCAGAGGUAGAAGUUUUAUAAUACGAAUAAGCGCGGUUCAAGACUGAACCUUAUUGAGCUGCAUAACUGCCAGGUCGAGAUAUGUUUCGACUCGAAAUCGAAGCUCGCAGCCGGCAGAGUAGUCGUAUCUCAUCAAUGGCCGCAUGAUGCGUGCAUUGUGCUUUUCGAUAGUCUUUCGAGAAUAGGUUGGCCAGAGCAUACUUGAACUGGGCUAUUUAAUUCAAAUUAAUUUCGGCACACCUAAAUUCUAAGGUCCCGAAGUCGUAGGCACAGACGGUGUGUCGCAUUACCGUCGAGUAGCAGUCGAAGUUAUCGCCAAGAGAGACCUUCGGAGCUUCGUGUCCAUGCCUAGAAGGCUAACGGCGUCGAGACGGUUCUAAGGCACGACACAUCGCAAUCGAAGAGCUUCCACAGAAGUCCACCCACCGAGGGGUGGAGCAUCACAGUAAAACCCACCAAAAGUCCUCACCAGGGCGAGAGUGGCGCUACACGAGCUAACCAGAAGGGUGCGGGCGAUCAACAUGGUCGGACUUCACUUUCAUGCUUUAGAUGUCUGAUGUCAUCAUCGAAAGACUUAACUAGUACGAGUUUAUUACAUAUUGUGAUAUAGUCAAUUACUUGACGGAAUUGUCUUAACCAUGGAUUAUCGCUGCAUAUCCUUGCAUGCUAAGGAUGGUAUAGCUCUGCGUUUGUUCAUCAUCGUCAAGACUGAUUUAGUAAAACAUGCAGAGGUGAGCGAUCGUUUGAGAACAGACACCCAAUGAAAAGUCGCCCUAGUCAACUAACGAUAAGAAUUAUUGUUUCAGUAGAUGAUAUAUGAACCUAGUGAUACCUUGGAACACAGUUGUAUUCAAGAACUCUGUCAAGAGAACGAGUGGCCAUCUAGUUAACCUAAACAUGAACGAGUGCAUUAAGUAGCCGGUAGGCAGCGCAAAACCUAAGAAAACUGCCUGCAGCUUGUCGAGAGACUACAUCAGUAUCAGAUAGUGAUGGAUCAGCGCCACCAAUCAAGUUGCUACUACACCGAGGCUAACCUCUCGGUGCCACGAAAUUCCGCCGAGUAUAGAUAUGCCCCCUGUUGAUCAGGGCGAUAUUACGAGAUUAUCAUGACAGAGAUUGAAUCGAGCUCACUUAGCUGCUGUCUUACACCUGUAGGACAGUAAGAAUCCUCGCACCUUCCUUACGAUGCUUUAAGUCGUUACACAACUCCCGGAGUGCUUCUUCGGCGAAGAUAUCUCGCAAGAUACUGGCGGGCCAGUGUAUGCCCUGGAGCCAGUGUAGUGUCCGCUCUCGGAAGAUAGGAUCCGGUCUCCGGGUAAGUGAUAUAGCUAGCCCACUCAUCCCCUAUGCAAGCAUCUUAGACGACGUAGAGGUACACGUAUCAGAUGUCACAAUGAAAACCCGACGGCGAGCGAAACUUGCGUUCGCCGAGAGAUACGAAACUAGAUAUUCCACAGAAUAUAGCCCGAAGAUCCUGUUCAAUCAUGUCCAUGAUGCUGACUCACACUUAGCAUUGUGUUUGAUGGAAGCAUGUAGUCCCGAAAGGCAUCACCGAGACAGCCUAGCAUUCUUACUAUGAGUUGUGCGAAGACAUUCGUAGUGGCAUCCUGAAUUAUGAGGCAUUGUAGUACCUGUGGCGAAUCUAGUUUCUAUGGACCAUCAAUUCACUCUCAGCCCGGAUCUUAAGCUGAAUGGUACCGCUUUCAGUUAAUAUAAUCUAUCUAUCUGCAUAUCUAUCUGUAGCGCGGGGCUAAGACGCUAGUGGGAGGAUCCGAUGCAAUGAGAUCUUCGGAGCAGAUACACGCCAGAACCCACUGGGAAACUAUUCGUAGUUCUCACUCGCACAGAGUACUAUCGCUGCACUGAGGCUGGCUUCCAAAGAAAGGAGACCGUGUUCAAUCUGGGCAGGGGAUACCCCUGUUUCUUACACUGUGACUUUGUUGAGGCGGCUCGAAUCGCCGGAAGGCGUAAGCGCCCUACGGGUUGACAGUGGUAAUCCAGACGAAGAGGGUUUUUCACUUAUUUAAAUAUCAAAUUUUUUCUUGACUUAGCGCCUUAUUUAGAAGACAGGGCAGCACCUCUAGUCGUCUAGGGAGAUCACACCUGGCUCUAUGACCUCCUUUAUCACCCUACCUCAGCUGGCGCCUUCCCUUUACUUCAGCUCCCAGGCAAAGCAAUAUAAGAUUAGUCAUAGCCAUCGAGGAUCGAUGGUGGUUGCCAGACACAGUGAUCUCAUACUGCGGUCAGCACGAGGUCAUCCUGUUAUCUGGUAGUCUAGAGAGUUGUAGGUACGAAUUCACAGACUACAUGGUCAUAUCCAAUGAGUGGUCGCAUUCUUAAUCUUAUGUCUAAUAUACACGGCCGGGCAUUCAACAUUAUUGCCCUAGUAAAGAGAUAUCGCAGCGAAAUAGAGGCUCUAACAUGCUCGGUUAAUAAAUAUAUUAUAAGAAGUUAGCUCGGCAAAAUAGGAUCACCCAUCCUCCGCUCGCAUCGAUAGUAAUGUUGCCUAGUGAAAAACAGUCCAUUAGGUUCGAAUUUUAUUACUACUCAGAUCAGGCUAGAAAAACCCGAUCAUCGUUGUACCAAGAAGUAAAGCGGCGGUGAGUACCAUACGAGCAUAAGUGUAUGCUCAGCUGACAGGCGAGUAAGCAUCAUCCUGCUAGAGGUCGUCUCGAUCUCGAAGUGUACACAUCGAGUGUUUUGCGAGGAAAGACCAAGCUCACAUGCAAAUGAAUGCGAAAUAAAGAGUGGCGAUGCUCUUCACGUACUCGAAAAUGAGCAAUUCUAGCAUCAGAUGAAAUGUUGAAGGUAUGGACAAUACCUCGCAAGACAGUCGCCCACACCAGUGCCCUGCGUGCUGAGUCAGGGCGAAGACCUCUCUGCGCAUCUCCAGAUGCGCUGCCGUGCCCCUCAGUUUGCGCCUCCGUCCCGCGUAAUUGUGGUUGUUAAUUGUUAUGUACCCAGUUCAACGUUGUUCCUUGGAACCUUGUUGCUCACUAAUCUAUGGUUGAGCCUUGGCGACAGAGGAGGCUGUCCGUUCGGCGUCGGUCCGCCCUUCGAGUAGGGGGACCCCGGAGCCACGAAGCAGCUGCAGCUGGGGCUCCGCGGCUUCUGCGGGCGUGCAGGCAUGGGAGGAGACAGGGACUCCCCCUGAGACAUCCGCCACCUCCUAGGACACUGGCUUGCAGGGGAGCCACCUCGCACUGGCCACGAACGGAAACAGUGUCCUCCUCUGCGACCAUUCGCCAUCAACCGCUGAGCUUUGCCGGCAGAUGCACACAACGGUGGAUCGCCCCUCUGCUGAUUGCUCGAGGGCGCACUCUUUGCUCCCUGCUAGAGUGCGCGGAUGCUUUGGCGACCGGUUACUAUUGGAAAGGAGCCGCCGCACGUCUUAGAAUGGGAACGCUUUCUGUUCCCCAUCGCCUCCGAGGCCCUUUGCAGCUCGGACUCUCGUAGACUCGCUCUGGAUGACGAGGCUAUCGUCGCAAGCACUCCGUCAAAACACGUCAUCGUGCCAUGAGAAGCCCAGCAGCAUCCUGAUGUGGGUCUCGAAGCCCUCGCGAAGACUCUCGCCUUGUGCGCUCGUCAAAGUAGGCUCGAAUAGAGAGCAAGGGAUCAGCCUCCACCAUGGCGGAAGACGAAGUCCUGCUCGUAGCUUCAGCUACGGUACGUUCCCACUGCUGAAGAUGUUCUAAAGCUCCGCGCUCCGGCCCAGCCUCCAAAUUUUUGAGUUGUCCCGAAAGAAUUGCUUGGAUUGGAGAUCUCCGGAACUCCCCCCAGGGUUGGGAAAGGACGGCCCAGCUGUGAGCGAGGUAGAUGUCGGCAGCCACCAAAUAGAGCUGCGUCCGCCGGUCCGAGAAAGUGUGCGGCCAAGGACGCGGUACCUGGCUCAUCCGAUGAGUAUAAGUCGCUCUAAAGCUAGGUACUCUCACAAUGUCGGUCAGGUUCGAUGAGCAGGUCGCGUCGAUAGAAACUCCUAGUUCUCUUCCUUCUUACGCUCCACGCGUAUUCUUGCGGGUCGAAUUCCCAUGAACUCAUCCAGCUUCGCACAUGCAUAGCGGGCGCCUCUGCUGCGGGGUAAUUUGCAUCCUCAGCUGGAACCUCUGGUGGUCGUCCGUCGUCGUCGAGCUCAGCAAGCAGAUAAAGAUGGAACGGAGCCGAGGGCCGAGCUACCUAGUGCAGGCGCACCUGAGGAGGUGGUGGACUUCCUACGGAGACUCUAAGAGCAGGCAUGACCCAUUCCAGAACCGGCGGCGUCGGGGAAGGUAGUCGCUUAUAUGGGAACACAGCUCUAGGCGGUGUGCGGCUCGUAAGGACUAGCUGGCAUGAGUGCUGCGUCGGAAACCGCCGCCAUGUGGAAAGGAGUCGUCAUCCUGAAUCCCGUCCCGUCAUCACUGGAGGCUUUAGACCUCGAGUGGUGAGGCUCGAGCUGCUUCGAUAGCAGUGAGUAUCCGCCCUGCUGGAUGUGGAAUGUUUUUUUUUACUUUUCUGGUCGAUCUGCUCACCCUACUCCUGCCCUGCCCCACCUGCCUCUGCCGUUGCUCGGAGGCCUGCUCUUUUCCUAGGAGGCUAAUUGACUAAGAGCCCUCAUGGGCGACGGCGUCCAGAAAGUUUGAUGGAACUAGCUCCCACGAACUCACGGAAGAAGGUGGGUCCGCUACUCCACGAGCCAAUCUGUAACACAAAGCACGCGUCAGCACGAAUAAUCGAGACUCGACCAACUCCGCCUACGGACUUGAGGCCCACAGAAACUUGCACUCACGUGCGCUAUGAGUAUUUCGCCCGUAGUCCUGCCUAUGGGUCAACCUAACCAAUGGUUCAUUUCAUUGAUUUUUCGAAAACCAACCUGUGAAUGGUAGUCUCCCCCUGUAUUUUGAGCACGGUCGUCGUAGCACAAGUACAGAGGAGAUCUGUCCCGUCGUGAAGUGGAUUCCCUGUAAUUGUGCGAUCUGACAUACUCUGGGGUCAGGUAUUUGAGAAAAACAAAAACAAAUUAUUAGUCAUUUCGCGUCAUUUCCAAACGCGCAACAAGGACCUCAGGGGUGACAGAUUAAAGUGGUAUCAGAGCCGGUUCAUCAGCUGGACAUGUGUGGCGAGUCUCGCUAUGAGCCACGGGUCGGAUGACGGGCUAACGAGCGACGUCUUACAUCGCGCUGGUGAUCUUGGGCUGUGUGUGUUGUGGACUCGACAGACGUCAGGACUGCAGCUUAAACGGGGAGUCCUGGUGACACCGCCAUAUCAACAUCGAUGAAAUGGAAGGUGUUGUUUAUUCAGGAGUUGAUAAGCACGACUUAGACACUAGCUAAAUAAUAACUGGCUUAGAGCAUUUGGGGUCUGUGUUGGUAUCAUGGGCCAACGAGUUACUCUUAAUUAAGCUUAGUGAAGCUUGGGCCUGGUCGUUACAUUGGUAAUCAGUCAAGUCGAAUUCUUUCAGCUCAUCGAAGCUACUGCUAGACACCGUCGAUUUGUUCAUGAAGUUAUUGUCGUUUCGAACUGCGAAUGAUGACCUGUCGUUCGGAUUCAGUAAUACCGAUUUUGCUGGGAGUCCACCGGGUUAUACCCAAAGCUCUCCGAGCUUUGCCUCAAUGUAAAGCUUGUGAAGCGGUGUGCGAUUUUGGAGAAGGCUGCAACGAAUCGCAAGAUAAUACCUGCACUGCGCCAAACCCUAGAAAAACUCCGGACUUGGUCACCGAAAGUUUUGGUUCAAGACCAGCUACACCACGCGAGGCUAUCUUCUUCGGGUCCGACCGAAUCCACGCCGGAGUAGAAUAUGCCGUCUCUCAAGAAUGACCACGUAGCGACGUCACGGAGCAGAAAUCCACUUCUUGAGCUUAGCGUUACAACUGUGCCGCCGCUGAAGUAUCUGGCAAUUAGCUCUGUCGCGAGAUGAUCCUCAGGUGCUCCCUACAAUACUCCGCGAGUAGAUCAGGAGUCAUCAUGAAACCGACGACAGACACUGAUCCAGAUAAGCUCGGAAGCCCUGUCAUUCAUGUCGCAUAGAAGGCUGCGCGGAGGAUUGGUGAGCCCGAAAGGCACACCGUGAACUCGUAGUGGCCGUAACGAGUCCGGAAAGGCGGUCUUUCGGCACAUCCUCAGCCCGGAUCUUUAAGCUGAUGUAGCCUCCCGACCGCAAGAUCAUCCUUGGAGUUAGCACCGACGAUCCUUUGACAAGGCUGGUCAUGGUACGAAGCCUGAACUUUCCAGUACGCGCUUUCUCAUCUUUAGAGUGACGGUCAGGUCCAGAGCGACGUGCAUCCAGACUUCUUGUACGACAUGCUCUGGCGCAGAUCGCGUCUGGAUUACGGUGGAUCGGAUGGUCUCGGUAUUACCGUUGGUGGAGUUUCGCGACUAUAAUAAACAGCUUUCAGGGUCGACAUCGGGAUGGCACCAUACCGAGGCGUCUGUUAUGGGCGUUCGAUGUCGUUCUCAGCUAUCUGCUUGGCACGCAUGUCGAAGACCGCCGGUUAGUUAGGACUACUAGAUUUAGUAGGAGACGCCACAUGAGGCAAGAUCCGCAUUGGGCGAGAGAGCGGCUUCAGACCUGCAACAGAUAGAAUCCAAGGGGCGACUAGCGCGGCCCAGGCGGAGGCCGGAACCUAGAGUUUCAGUCGUGAGUCAUGUGCUGCUCAAGUGUCGCCUUCCAGGAUCAAUACGGUUUGUUUGCGGAACAAGCUUAUCGCGCUGGUUUCGGUGGGACCCGUUCUGAGAUCCUACGAGCUGCGUUGGUCCGGUGGGCUUACCAGAUUGCUCUCAUACCGCAGUCUCGCCCGAGUGCAGCAACGUUUUUUCACGUGUCCCAUGCUUCGGAUACCACAUCCCGAUCCGUCCCCACAUCAUUCAGUCGACACGCAUUCAGCUAUGCGGGAGGAUCUCGAGCUAUGCAGUGAGGCUCCCGUUGCACGAUCCUGGUCACGUGAGGUGAACGCAGUUGCCGGAAUAGGAGCAUAUCCGUAUUCAAGGUCCAGUGGAGGAGAAGCGCGACGAGAGGGCUGCGCCUGAGGCUACUGGGAGCUUGAAUGCGUCAUGGCGGUCGAUCAUUAUCCACAGUUAUUUUGCGAGGGACGUCCUUGUNNNNNNNNNNNNNNNNNNNNNNNNNACUAAUUAUAUAGUUCUAUUAUGCCGCCGGCGCAAUUGUUAUAUAUUUGGAACGAUCUUAAAUUUACAAGAACCAAAUCGGAACAACAAUUAGACUACUAAGUUGCGCACCUAACAUAUUAACUUUUGCAACGAGCACUUAUUUCUCAUUCUACAAACAAAGAGUAAAACCAUUAUAUUGCUUAUUAUGCCUCGAGACAGUGUAAAUUUGGAACGAAUCAGAAACUUGUCAACGUUCACAAGACAACAAACAUGGACGAAAAUUAGCACUACUCAGUUUGCGCGCAACAGUAUAACUUUUGAACGAGUAUUUUUCUUCAUUGAUCAAUAGAACAAAGAGUUAAAACCUAAGUAUAUUAUUUUUUAUACCUCCAUUCGUGCUAAAUCGUAGAACGAGGUCAAUGUCAACGUUCACAAGACCAAAAUCGGAACACAUAGACUACUCAGUUGGCACCAACAGAUAUGAACUUAUGCACACGAAUACUUUUUUCUAAUUCUAUCAACAAAGAAGUAAACCCCAUAUUAUAUUGUAUCUUAUGCCCCAGAGUGUAAAUUUGGAACGUAACCAGAUGGCAAGGUUCACGUAAGAACAAAAAACAGGAACAAAAUUAGAUACUAGUUGCGGCCAAAAAGUCUAACUUUGCAACGAGUAUUUUUUCUCAUUUCUAUUAUCAGAAAGAGGUAAAACCUAAUUAUAUAGUUCUAAUUUGCCUGGAGUGUAAACUUGGAACGAAUCAGAUUCGUCAACGUGAUUAAGAAGAAAAACCAGAAAACACAUUACACUACUCUGGUUUGCAGCACUAACAGUAUAACUGCGACGUAGUACUUUUGUCUCUUUCUAUCGAACAAAAAGUGAAACCUAAUUAUCAUUCUAUUAUGCCCGGGCGAGUGUAAAUUGUGGAAGAUCUUCAACGUUCACAAAAGAACCAAAUCGGAACAACAUGAGCACUACUCAUUGCGACCUAACGUUAUAACUUUGCAACGAGUACUUUUCUGAUUUCUAUCAACAAAGAGAUAAAACCUUUAAUUAUAUCGAUAUCUAUAGUCUCGAGAGUGUAAAUUGGACGAUAUCAGAGUCAAGUUCAGAAAGAAUCAAAGAUUCGGCGAAGAACAUUAGAUACUCAGUUUUGGCCCUAACAGUUAUACUUAAUGCAACGAUCUUUUUCUACGUUCUAUCAAACAAAGAGUAAAAUACUAAUUAUAUUAUUUAUUAUACGCUCGAGAGUGUGAAUUUGGACGAAGGUCAUAUCAACGUUCACAAGAACCAGCCGGGAGACCGGUCCUUGUCCGAGAGACCGGUUCCCGAGAGCAAUACUUUCGGGACUUAGCCAAAUUUCGGCUUCUCUCGCUGGGCCAACGUUCGGGAACCGGUCCCUGCCUGCUAGGGACAGGUCUCAUCAGAGACCCCCGCAGCCCAGCCUGAUGGGACCGGUCCCUCCCUGCCAGGGACCGGUCCCCGAGAGCAUUUCUUCUCCAGUGCAGCUUUUGCACGGGUGCUCUCGCGGACACCUCCUCAAUGCACCUUAUGCAUUGUGAUCACCUUCGGACUUUCCGAAGCUUGCACGCACGACAACCAGUCGAUCUUUGACGAAGUCUAAUCCUCGAGUUUCGAGAAUUCACUUCCCUUACACUCUCCCCACUUAAAAGAGUUUCGUCCUCGAAACGAACUCAACAAUAUUAAAUUCAUCCAGAAUACUCAUACCUCGGUGGCUCACUCAAACAAGUGAGGAUGAUUCGCUCUCAUCUCCUCCUCGAGCUCCCAGGUGGCUUCGCGGUCAGCAUGAUUGCUCCACUCUCAGGGCAUAAUAGAAUAAUAUAAUUAGGUUUUACUCUUUGUUCGAUAGAAUGAGAAAAAGUACUCGUUGCAAAGUUAUACUGUUUGGGCGCAACAGAGUAGUCUAUUGUUGUUCCGGUUUUCGUUAUUGUGAACGUCGACAUCGAUUCGUUCCAAAUUUACACUCUCGGAGUAUAAUAGAACUAUAUAAUUUGGUUUUACUCUUUAUUCAAUAGAAUGAGAAAAAGUACUCGUUGCAAAGUUAUACUGUUUGGGCGCAACUCAGUGGUCUAAUUUUGUUCCGGUUUUUGUUCUUGUGAACGUUGACAUCGAUUCGUUCCAAAUUUAUACUCUCGGGGCAUAAUAGCACAAUAUAAUUAGGUUUUACUCUUUGUUCGAUAGAAUGAGAAAAAGUACUCGUUGCAAAGUUAUACUGUUAGGGUGCUACUGAAUAGUUGAAUGUUGUUCCAAUUUUGAUUCAUGUGAACGUUGACAUCGAUUCGUUCCAAAUUUACACUCUCGGGGCAUAAUAAAAUAAUAUAAUUAGGGUUUACUCUUUGCCCGAUAGAAUGAGAAAAAGUACUCGUUGCAAAGUUAUACUGUUAGUGUGCAACUGAGUAGUCUAAUAUUGUUCCGGUUUUUGUUCUUCAGAUCGUUGACAACGAUUCGUUCCAAAUUUACACUCUCAGGGCAUAAUAGAACAAUAUAAUUAGGUUUUACUCUUUGUUCGAUAGAAUGAGAAAAAGUACUCGUUGCAAAGUUAAACUGUUUUGGGCGCAACUGAGUAGUCUAAUUGUUCCGUUUUUGUUCUUGUGAACUUGACAUCGAUUCGUUCCAAAUUUACACUCUCGGGGCAUAAUAGAGAAUAUAAUUAUGUUUUACUCUUUGUUCGAUAGAAAUGAGAAAAAGUACUCGUUGCAAGUUAUACUGUUAGGCGCAACCUGAGUUGUCUAAUGUUGUUCCGGUUCUUGGUUCUUGUGAUACGUUGAAAUCGAUUCGUCAAAUUUAUUACACUCUUCGGGGGGCAUAAUAGAAGCUAUAUAAAUUAUGGUUUUAAGCUCUUAAUUCGAUUUUUAGAAAAGAGAAAAAAGUACUACGUUGCAAAGUUAUAGCCUGUUAGCACGCCAACAGAGUAGUCUUAAUUUGUUCCGGUUCACAAAGAACGAAAACCGGAAACGAACAUUAGACUAUCGGUUUUCGUUCUGUGAACGUUGACAUCGAUCGUUCCAAAAUUUACACGCCUUUGGGGCCAUUAAAUAGAACAUGAUAAUAUGUUUUAUCCUUUGUUUCGAUGCGUAGAAUGAGAAAACGUACUCUGUUUCACAAAGUUAUAGCUGUUUGGGGCCGCCCCCCCAACUGAGUAGUACUAAUUUUGGUUACCCGGAUUUUGUUCUUAUAGUGAACUGUUGACAUAACGAUUCGUUUCCGUCCUUAUAACUAUUGAAUUUAAGAGGAUUUAGACUCCCUUUUCGCUCAUGAGGGACCAANNNNNNNNNNNNNNNNNNNNNNNNNNNNNNNNNNNNNNNNNNNNNNNNNNNNNNNNNNNNNNNNNNNNNNNNNNNNNNNNNNNNNNNNNNNNNNNNNNNNNNNNNNNNNNNNNNNNNNNNNNNNNNNNNNNNNNNNNNNNNNNNNNNNNNNNNNNNNNNNNNNNNNNNNNNNNNNNNNNNNNNNNNNNNNNNNNNNNNNNNNNNNNNNNNNNNNNNNNNNNNNNNNNNNNNNNNNNNNNNNNNNNNNNNNNNNNNNNNNNNNNNNNNNNNNNNNNNNNNNNNNAAAUUUACACUCUCGGGGCAUAAUAAAAUAAUAUAAUUAGGUUUUACUCUUUGUUCGGUAGAAUGAGAAAACGUACUCGUUGCAAAGUUAUACUGUUAGGGCGCAACUGAUUAGUCUAAUGUUGUUCCGUUUUUCGUUCUUAUGAACGUUGACAUCGAUUCGUUCCAAAUUUACACACUCGGGGCAUAAUAGAGCAAUAUAAUUAGGUUUUACUCUUCGUUCGAUAGAUUCAGAAAAAGUACUCGUUGCAAAGUUAUACUGUUAGGGCGCAACUGAGUAGUCUAAUGUUGUUCCGGUUUUUGUUCUUCUGAACGUUGACAUCGAUUUGUUCCAAAUUUACACUCUCGAGGCAUAAUAGAACAAUAUAAUUAGGUUUUACUCUUUGUUCGAUAGAAUAAGAAAAAGUACUCGUUGCAACCUUAUACUGUUUGGGCGCAACUGAGUAGUCUAAU
rnacentral:lncRNA from 1 species